UUUAAAUAUACAUUUUGUUUUUGUUUUUGCUCAACCUGUUCUUUCUUGUAACUCUUCUAAUUUGUCAAUCAGUAAAGACAAUUAUUGAUAAUCUGCCAGAGGCAUGUUAGUACAUGGAAUGUCUUACUACUUUAAGUCAAGUAUUCUCAGGUAAUCUGCACCUCUCUACUGGAUGUGACAACAUAUUAUGGAAGAAUGUGUGGAUUUAAAACAUACUCGUGUUAAUAUACUGGCAACAUAGUGAUUUGGCAAGACAGCCAAUAUCUACUGCAGCUUGAUCUCCAGAUGUUGAGUGAUCACAAUAGCAAUUAUUAGAAUAUUAACAAAACUAAUAUAAGCAAACCCUAGCUUUUUCAAUGCUGGUAGAAUUCAACCAAAUCAACUUUGAAAGUACAAAGAAAAGAUACCAGCCAGUUAUUUGCAUAUCAUACAGUACGAAAUCCCACUUGCAAUGGCAGGAC